CUUUUACCCUUUGUGUCCCAGUCUCCCAUUUGGUCCCCUAGGGGAGUGUCCACCAGGUGGGAGACCUGCAUAAAAGCCGGGCAGUUAGCCCCAGUAAAUGAGUUCCUGCUUAACCCUCAAAGUGAAGUGUUGUCUCAUUAUUGGGGGAGGAUUUACUGUAUGCUGUUAGAGACUGAUUGCCAGGAGUGUAAGCCGCUUGGGGGCUUUUCC